GACGAACGCUGGCGGCGUGCCUAAUACAUGCAAGUAGAACGCUGAAGAGAGGAGCUUGCUCUUCUUGGAUGAGUUGCGAACGGGUGAGUAACGCGUAGGUAACCUGCCUUGUAGCGGGGGAUAACUAUUGGAAACGAUAGCUAAUACCGCAUAACAAUGGAUGACACAUGUCAUUUAUUUGAAAGGGGCAAUUGCUCCACUACAAGAUGGACCUGCGUUGUAUUAGCUAGUAGGUGAGGUAACGGCUCACCUAGGCGACGAUACAUAGCCGACCUGAGAGGGUGAUCGGCCACACUGGGACUGAGACACGGCCCAGACUCCUACGGGAGGCAGCAGUAGGGAAUCUUCGGCAAUGGGGGCAACCCUGACCGAGCAGCGCCGCGUGAGUGAAGAAGGUUUUCGGAUCGUAAAGCUCUGUUGUAAGUCAAGAACGAGUGUGAGAGUGGAAAGUUCACACUGUGACGGUAGCUUACCAGAAAGGGACGGCUAACUACGUGCCAGCAGCCGCGGUAAUACGUAGGUCCCGAGCGUUGUCCGGAUUUAUUGGGCGUAAAGCGAGCGCAGGCGGUUUGAUAAGUCUGAAGUUAAAGGCUGUGGCUCAACCAUAGUUCGCUUUGGAAACUGUCAAACUUGAGUGCAGAAGGGGAGAGUGGAAUUCCAUGUGUAGCGGUGAAAUGCGUAGAUAUAUGGAGGAACACCGGUGGCGAAAGCGGCUCUCUGGUCUGUAACUGACGCUGAGGCUCGAAAGCGUGGGGAGCGAACAGG
rnacentral:rRNA from 1 species